CGCCGCGGUAAGACGGAGGAGGCAAGCAUUGUCCGGAAUUAUUGGGCGUAAAGAACACGUAGGCGGUUUGUCAAGUCAUAUGUGAAAACCUUGGGCUUAACUUAAGGAUUGCAUGUGAUACUGGCAAACUAGAGUAUAGUAGAGGAAAGCGGAAUUCCUGGUGUAGCGGUGAAAUGCGCAGAUAUCAGGAAGAACACCAGUGGCGAAAGCGGCUUUCUGGACUGUUACUGACGCUGAGGUGUGAAAGCUAGGGGAGCGAACAGGAUUAGAUACCCUGGUAGUCCUAGCCGUAAACGAUGGACACUAGGUGGGGGGAGUUAUCGACGCUCUCUGUGCCGAAGCUAACGCAUUAAGUGUCCCGCCUGGGGAGUACGGUCGCAAGACUAAAACUCAAAGGAAUUGACGGGGGCCCGCACAAGCGGCGGAGCAUGUGGCUUAAUUCGACGCAACGCGAAGAACCUUACCAAGGCUUGACAUCGUAUUGACAAGUACAGAAAUGUACCUCCUUCGGGCAAUAUGACAGGUGGUGCAUGGCC
rnacentral:rRNA from 1 species